rnacentral:rRNA from 1 species
GACGAACGCUGGCGGCGUGCUUAACACAUGCAAGUCGAACGGAAAGGCCCUGCUUUUGUGGGGUGCUCGAGUGGCGAACGGGUGAGUAACACGUGAGUAACCUGCCCUUGACUUUGGGAUAACUUCAGGAAACUGGGGCUAAUACCGGAUAGGAGCUCCUGCUGCAUGGUGGGGGUUGGAAAGUUUCGGCGGUUGGGGAUGGACUCGCGGCUUAUCAGCUUGUUGGUGGGGUAGUGGCUUACCAAGGCUUUGACGGGUAGCCGGCCUGAGAGGGUGACCGGCCACAUUGGGACUGAGAUACGGCCCAGACUCCUACGGGAGGCAGCAGUGGGGAAUAUUGCACAAUGGGCGGAAGCCUGAUGCAGCAACGCCGCGUGCGGGAUGACGGCCUUCGGGUUGUAAACCGCUUUCGCCUGUGACGAAGCGUGAGUGACGGUAAUGUAAAGAAGCACCGGCUAACUACGUG